GCAGCACGAAGCAAGGGCCUU
rnacentral:misc_RNA from 1 species